rnacentral:tRNA from 1 species
GCUCCCAUCGUCUAGUGGCCCAGGACGUCGCCCUCUCACGGCGAAAACAGGGGUUCGAACCCCCUUGGGAGCGCCA